rnacentral:rRNA from 1 species
UACGUAGGGUGCAAGCGUUGUCCGGAAUUAUUGGGCGUAAAGAGCUCGUAGGCGGUCUGUUGCGUCGGCUGUGAAAACCCGGGGCUCAACUCCGGGCCUGCAGCCGAUACGGGCAGACUAGAGUUCGGCAGGGGAGACUGGAAUUCCUGGUGUAGCGGUGAAAUGCGCAGAUAUCAGGAGGAACACCGGUGGCGAAGGCGGGUCUCGGGGCCGAUACUGACGCUGAGGAGCGAAAGCGUGGGGAGCGAACAGG